GAUGAACGCUGGCGGCGUGCUUAACACAUGCAAGUCGAACGAUGAAGCCCAGCUUGCUGGGUGGAUUAGUGGAGAACGGGUGAGUAACACGUGAGUAACCUGCCCUUAACUCUGGGAUAAGCCUGGGAAACUGGGUCUAAUACCGGAUAGGAGCGUCCACCGCAUGGUGGGUGUUGGAAAGAUUUAUCGGUUUUGGAUGGACUCGCGGCCUAUCAGCUUGUUGGUGAGGUAAUGGCUCACCAAGGCGACGACGGGUAGCCGGCCUGAGAGGGUGACCGGCCACACUGGGACUGAGACACGGCCCAGACUCCUACGGGAGGCAGCAGUGGGGAAUAUUGCACAAUGGGCGCAAGCCUGAUGCAGCGACGCCGCGUGAGGGAUGACGGCCUUCGAGUUGUAAACCUCUUUCAGUAGAGAAGAAGCGAGAGUGACGGUACCUGCAGAAGAAGCACCGGCUAACUACGUG
rnacentral:rRNA from 1 species